GAUGAACGCUGGCGGCGUGCCUAAUACAUGCAAGUCGAGCGAACGGACGAGAAGCUUGCUUUUCUGAUGUUAGCGGCGGACGGGUGAGUAACACGUGGAUAACCUACCUAUAAGACUGGGAUAACUUCGGGAAACCGGAGCUAAUACCGGAUAAUAUUUUGAACCUCAUGGUUCAAAAGUGAAAGACGGUUUUGCUGUCACUUAUAGAUGGAUCCGCGCUGCAUUAGCUAGUUGGUAAGGUAACGGCUUACCAAGGCAACGAUGCAUAGCCGACCUGAGAGGGUGAUCGGCCACACUGGAACUGAGACACGGUCCAGACUCCUACGGGAGGCAGCAGUAGGGAAUCUUCCGCAAUGGGCGAAAGCCUGACGGAGCAACGCCGCGUGAGUGAUGAAGGUCUUCGGAUCGUAAAACUCUGUUAUUAGGGAAGAACAUAUGUGUAAGUAACUGUGCACAUCUUGACGGUACCUAAUCAGAAAGCCACGGCUAACUACGUG
rnacentral:rRNA from 1 species